rnacentral:rRNA from 1 species
UGGGGAAUAUUGGACAAUGGGCGCAAGCCUGAUCCAGCAAUGCCGCGUGGAUGAAGAAGGUCUUCGGAUUGUAAAGUCCUUUCGGCGGGGACGCGGUACCCGCAGAAGAAGCCCCGGCUAACUUCGUGCCAGCAGCCGCGGUAAUACGAAGGGGGCUAGCGUUGCUCGGAAUUACUGGGCGUAAAGGGCGCGUAGGCGGACGACUUAGUCAGGCGUGAAAGCCCCGGGCUCAACCUGGGAAUUGCGCUUGAGACGGGUUGUCUUGAGGACGAGAGAGGGUGGUGGAAUUCCCAGUGUAGAGGUGAAAUUCGUAGAUAUUGGGAAGAACACCGGUGGCGAAGGCGGCCACCUGGCUCGUUACUGACGCUGAGGCGCGAAAGCGUGGGGAGCAAACAGGAUUAGAUACCCGUGUAGU